UUUAAAUUUUAAUUAUCGGGAUAUUUCAAUUUUGCCGCUAAAAAUUUUGGGGAAUAUUUCAAUGUUCCCGCUAAACAGAUUUCGAGAAAGAGUGAUACCUCAUCUUUUAUUUCUUCAAGUUUAACUUUCUUCUUUAUUUGUGGUCUUCUUCUUCCCGACCUAGACCUAGACGCCCCUCUACCCUCCCAAUCGCAAACAAAACCCUCACCAAUCACGACCGUGAUCCAAAUCGGUUACCCAUUCUAAUCCAUCCUCUCAUCUCUCAAUCACAGACGAGAGCAAUCGGCCUCGAUUCCUGCACACACCAGAAACUUCGUCCUCUUGUGCUCGAUUCGAUACAGGCCGUGGAAAACUGAAGUUAUCUCGAAGAAAGUAGCUGGAAGUAUCGAAGAGUAAGCUGUCACACGAUCUGAGGAUGCAGUGAAUUUGUCAAAGCUAUGGAAUACUAUAGAAUUUUUUCAUGGUGCAUUUAGGUUAUUCUUGUGCUGGGUAAGAGCACAGAAGUUUUUGCAGUUGGAGCUGAACAAGGAACCAUGGGUAACAAGAUGCUGACUCUAUAUGAGUAUGUAACCAAUGUAACUAGUUGGAACUCCUCUUGUAACCUUUGCCAUGUUUCUGUACAUGUUGCAUUUUGUUGUGAGAAAGUCAGUUUUAUAUUUUAAAGAUAUUUUUGGGCAGGCGCCCCCAAGAUUAGUCCGUGUCUUAUUGGAGAACCUUGUUUUGGGAAGUCUGGAAAUGUGGAAGGUCUUGCACAAUGAAUUGCAAGUGGUGAAGCACCUGAAAUGAUAGAUGGAAGAGUGAGUGAUAGUUUAUUUGUAAUUUCUAGUACCCUGCCUUGGCAUCCUUAUUUUGUGUUCUUAAAGAGUUAUGCUGACCAAAUCCCGAGCUCCAGUCAUCCUUGGAGUAGAGAUGAAAUGUGGUAGUUUUUCAGGAGACUUGAUGGAAUCUUGCCUUAGUCUGCUUGUUUGAAUUUAGCAUCAAGUUGUCCAUGUGAUUAAAGCUUAGUCCUGUUUGUUUAAUAUUCAGCAUGUACA